GAGGUGGGCAAGUUAGUUGCUCCAAAAACAAGAUAAAGUGAUUGAGUUAUUUUCUCAAGCGGGAGUCGGAGUUUAUCUGCUCUGAGAUGCUCCAGAUGGUUUUCUUACAGAGAAACUUCAUUUCAUGCUUGCAGUUGUUUAUUUCCAUGCAUCUAACUCUCAGCCAGGCACUGAAACAGAGCCCCAGCAGCUACUAUUAAUAAGUGUCUGGAAUAUGUUCCUGGCAUUUCACCUACCCUCUCUCCAAUCCUUCCAAGAAACUCACAAAGCAGGGCUUUUUCUUGAACUUCUCUUCCUCACAACAGUUAAAUCAUCCAUUUAAAGAUGUCAGACAACCUCCGUGUUCUAAGAACUAUUUACUAAGCUCUAUGGAGACACAGCUACGAGCACCACAUGCUGGACCCCUGAAUAUGGAGGGCCAACUACACUAGAAACACACACACUAGCUGAGAAAGAUGGUGGCUUAAGG
rnacentral:antisense_RNA from 1 species